GCGGAGGAAAAGAAAGCAACAGCGAUAGCCUCAGUAACGGCGAGUGAAGCGGCUACAGCUCAAAUUUGAAAUCUGGCCUCCUUUGGUGGUCCGAGUUGUAAUUUGCAGAGGAUGCUUUGGCAUUGGCGGCGGUCUAAGUUCCUUGGAACAGGACAUCGCAGAGGGUGAGAAUCCCGUACGUGGGCGCCUGCCUUUGCCGUGUAAAGCUCCUUCGACGAGUCGAGUUGUUUGGGAAUGCAGCUCUAAAUGGGAGGUAAAUUUCUCCUAAAGCUAAAUACCGGCCAGAGACCGAUAGCGCACAAGUAGAGUGAUCGAAAGAUGAAAAGUACUUUGGAAAGAGAGUCAAAUAGCACGUGAAAUUGUUGAAAGGGAAGCGCUUGCAGCCAGACUUGCCCGCAGUUGCUCACCUAGGCUUUUGCCUGGGGCACUCUUCUGCGGGCAGGCCAGCAUCAGUUUGGGCGGUCGGAUAAAGGUCUCUGUCAUGUACCACCCUUCGGGGUGGCCUUAUAGGGGAGACGCAAUGCGACCAGCCCGGACUGAGGUCCGCGCAUCUGCUA
rnacentral:sRNA from 1 species